CAAGUCGAACGAUGAAGCCCUUCGGGGUGGAUUAGUGGCGAACGGGUGAGUAACACGUGGGCAAUCUGCCCUGCACUCUGGGACAAGCCCUGGAAACGGGGUCUAAUACCGGAUAUGACUGUCCGCCGCAUGGUGGAUGGUGUAAAGCUCCGGCGGUGCAGGAUGAGCCCGCGGCCUAUCAGCUAGUUGGUGAGGUAGUGGCUCACCAAGGCGACGACGGGUAGCCGGCCUGAGAGGGCGACCGGCCACACUGGGACUGAGACACGGCCCAGACUCCUACGGGAGGCAGCAGUGGGGAAUAUUGCACAAUGGGCGAAAGCCUGAUGCAGCGACGCCGCGUGAGGGAUGACGGCCUUCGGGUUGUAAACCUCUUUCAGCAGGGAAGAAGCGAAAGUGACGGUACCUGCAGAAGAAGCGCCGGCUAACUACGUGCCAGCAGCCGCGGUAAUACGUAGGGCGCAAGCGUUGUCCGGAAUUAUUGGGCGUAAAGAGCUCGUAGGCGGCUUGUCACGUCGGUUGUGAAAGCCCGGGGCUUAACCCCGGGUCUGCAGUCGAUACGGGCAGGCUAGAGUUCGGUAGGGGAGAUCGGAAUUCCUGGUGUAGCGGUGAAAUGCGCAGAUAUCAGGAGGAACACCGGUGGCGAAGGCGGAUCUCUGGGCCGAUACUGACGCUGAGGAGCGAAAGCGUGGGGAGCGAACAGGAUUAGAUACCCUGGUAGUCCACGCCGUAAACGGUGGGCACUAGGUGUGGGCAACAUUCCACGUUGUCCGUGCCGCAGCUAACGCAUUAAGUGCCCCGCCUGGGGAGUACGGCCGCAAGGCUAAAACUCAAAGGAAAUUGACGGGGGCCCGCACAAGCGGCGGAGCAUGUG
rnacentral:rRNA from 1 species